rnacentral:rRNA from 1 species
AUAGAGACUCAGAGCUGCAUAUCAAUAAGCGGAGGAAAAGAAACUAACAAGGAUUCCCCUAGUAACGGCGAGUGAAGCGGGAAGAGCUCAAAUUUGAAAUCUUAAAGGUUUUCCCUUGACGAAUUGUAGUUUAAAGAAGUGUCUUCUGUUGGAGUUUCGGUAAAAGUUCUUUGGAAUAGGACAUCAUAGAGGGUGAGAAUCCCGUAUUUGACCAUUACUUUCCAGCUGUGUGAUACACUUUCAAAGAGUCGGAUUGUUUGGGAAUGCAGUCCAAAAUGGGUGGUAAAUUUCAUCUAAAGCUAAAUACUUGGCGAGAGACCGAUAGCGAACAAGUACCGUGAGGGAAAGAUGAAAAGAACUUUGAAAAGAGAGUUAAACAGUACGUGAAAUUGUCAAAAGGGAAGCGUUUGACACCAGUGUUGUUUUUCCGAAAAUCAAUUACGAAUGUUUUGUUUUUGAGGAGUUAUGACUUCAUCGGCUUGCUCCUUUCUUUAUGAAACUUUCUUAAUGCACUUUUCGGUUAACAAGUCAACAUCAAUUUCUUUUGUUGUAAAAGGGUAUGAGGAAGGUGGCUUUCUUUUCGGAGAAAGUGUUUAUAGCCUUGUGCCUCUGCAAUCGGAGAGAUUGAGGUCUGCAGCGUAGAUCCUUCGGGGUUAGAUACGUUUGUGCUAAGUUAUAGCUUUUCAUAGACAACUUGUUGACUAUGUUUAGUCUUGUAGCUUACUCGCUUACGCUAUUUUACCUACGCUUAGGAUGUUGAUAGUCACAGCGUGUAC